rnacentral:rRNA from 1 species
GACGAACGCUGGCGGCGUGCCUAAUACAUGCAAGUUGAGCGCUGAAGGUUGGUACUUGUACCGACUGGAUGAGCAGCGAACGGGUGAGUAACGCGUGGGGAAUCUGCCUUUGAGCGGGGGACAACAUUUGGAAACGAAUGCUAAUACCGCAUAAAAACUUUAAACACAAGUUUUAAGUUUGAAAGAUGCAAUUGCAUCACUCAAAGAUGAUCCCGCGUUGUAUUAGCUAGUUGGUGAGGUAAAGGCUCACCAAGGCGAUGAUACAUAGCCGACCUGAGAGGGUGAUCGGCAACAUUGGGACGGAGACACGGCCCAAACCCCUACGGGAGGCAGCAGGAGGGAAUCUUCGGGAAUGGACGAAAGGCUGACCGAGCAACGCCGCGUGAGUGAAGAAGGUUGUCGGAUCGUAAAACUCUGUUGGUAGAGAAGAACGUUGGUGAGAGUGGAAAGCUCAUCAAGUGACGGUAACUACCCAGAAAGGGACGGCUAACUACGUG